GUGGCGAGGGUCAGCGGGUGGAUGGCAGUCACGGAAGGAGCACCGGUGUAACUCCAUCAGUCAGAAGACGACGGGCUGCUCCUGUGUCACGCCGCUUAGGCUCACCAAACAUUGUGUCAUUCCUCCCUCGCCGUCUGAAGCACCGCCUCCCGGGAUACGCUGCACACGCACACACACCAGGCUGCCAGCUUUGCACACGCAAGGACACAUGGAGUCCACGCUAUAGCUCAGCAGGACACACACACACACACACACACACACACACACACACACACACACACACACACACACACACACACACACACACACACACACUCUCUCUCUCUCUCUCUCUCUCUCUCUCUCUCAAAAAUAAACCACACACACACACACACACACACACACACACACACACACACACACACAUACACAAUGAACGUGUCAACGAACGACACGCGGUGUGGCGUCCCAAGAUGUCUAGGAAUGACUGCACCAGUUGACUUGCUGCCGCUUAUUCCUGAACACUGGCUGGGUUAUCCCGAGCCAUCCACGCUCACCCACGCCGGCCUCGGGAGUCUCUUCCUUAUCAUCACUCCAGUUGCAUGUAUCGGCAACAUGGCCAUCAUAUUCCUCUACUGCAGGUGCCGCCGUCUGCAGAGUUCGUCCAAUCUGUUGGUGAUGAAUCUGGCGAUGGCUGAUCUCCUCAUGAUGUCCAAAGCACCCAUCUUCAUCGUCAACUCUUUCGCUCAGCGCCCCUUCACCGGCCGUUUAGGGUGUGAGAUAUAUGGGUUCGUGUCCUUGGUGUCUGGUCUAUCUGCCAUCUGGUUUCUCACCGCCAUCAGCCUGGAGAGGUACCGCGUGGUGCGCCUCUCCAUCACCCCCAGCAUGUCCUCCAAGUCCCAGACACGGGUGGUGGUGUGGGUGGUGUGGAUGACCUCUGGGGUGAUGGCCACUAUUCCACUUCUGGGCUGGAAUCGUUACGUGCCUGAGGGCGUGCUAUCCGGGUGCACCGUGGACUACCUGUCGGAACGGUGGCUAGAUCGCUCUUUCGUGUUCCUGCUGCUCCUUGUGGCCUGGACCGCCCCAAUGGCCGCCGUGCUCUUCUCCUAUAUGUACAUAAUAUUCAAGGUAAAGCGAAGCAGAAAGGAGCUGCGACAACUCAGUAACCAACAUACUGCCUUCUCGUCUCCAAACAGAAAGACUGGGACGCGGGUGGCCAUGCUGGUGGGACUAUGGGCAAUAUCAUGGACGCCUUACGCCCUAGUGGUGCUCGUGUCUGUGACCUUCAGCAACUCUGUUCUUACGCCUCUGCUAUCAACCAUGCCCUCGGUGUUCUGCAAAGCCUCAGCUUGCCUCAAUCCGUACGUCUACGGCUUGUCACUUCCAGGCUAUAAGAAAGAGCUGAAGAGAUUCCUACCAAAGUUGGUUGGCUAUCAUGGCACCUCAGGCAGAGUAAAGGAGAAUGACCAGCCGCUGCCUGCCUGUGUCACCACUCACUUUGAUCACAUGGCAGAACAUGGACCAAGAUGUAUGGCUUCAUCAUACAUUUUGCCCUCCCUGACUCCUGUGUCCUUACAAAGGUUCAUGCUGCCAAAUGGAGAUAUUGUUCUUGGCACAAGUUAUAAGGAGGCAAAACAAAAAAUGGCUAAAAAGCAAAAAAUCUUGCUUGUGAAUACACGUGCAGCACCAUCCCGCCACACCCAGAGAACACUCCCCCGUCUGCUACCUCUCACCUCACAGGUCUAACAGGACCUGUUGUGGACCUGUUUUACCAUCUUUUCCUGAAAGUCCCUCAAGAAGUCUGUGAGCAUGUUGUUAUCUUCACCACCUCCAUCACGGUCAAUGUCCUCACUCAGGCUGGCCACCCUCAGGCUGUGAAUGUAACCAUUGGACAAGUUUUACAACAUGCACUUCUCCAUAACAAGUGAGAUUCUUCAUGGUCAUGAGUAUCCCCAGCACUACUGAGUGAGGCAUCUAGACUGCCACUGCUUGAUUUUGACACUCUUGGAGCCCUUAAAUGACGUUGCCUGCGAGGAAUGCCCCAAGUCCUUCGUUGGUUUGACUGGAAAAGAAAGCAUAGCAUGGAAUUAGAUCAAUUUACAUACCUCAUAGAUACAUAUUUCUUUAGAAGGAGGACAGCUAAGACAUGUGUUCAAAAAACCAAAGAAAUAAAAAUACAUAGGAAGAGAU